rnacentral:RNase_P_RNA from 2 species
UCCUCACCAAAGCUGCGUUUCUUUGCUUCCACACAGACAAAGCGAUGCUUUACCGCUCGCCUUUGUCCUCUAUCUUGCAAAUGAGAAAUUCGGAGUAAUCUUCACACUUUACACUCACCUUGUUCUUGCAAAAGAGCGAGCUCUGAGUCACUGCCCGCGAGGGCCUGACGUGACACGUCUGCACCUGGCAUCAGAAACUCAGGACGUCUUGACCUAACAUCCACUGCGGUGGUGAAGAGGAAGAGAUCGCGUUCCUAUGGGAGCCGGUGCGAAGAUUGUGUGCGAGUCUUCAAUGACUUGCGAUACUUGAGUGCAAUACGCAGCGUUUUCUUCUUUCACGGAGGGAAUAAUUCGAUUCCGAUUACUCGGGUGAGGA